rnacentral:rRNA from 1 species
GACGAACGCUGACGGUGUGCUUUAGACAUGCAAGUCGAACGCGAAAGCCCUUCGGGGUUAGUAGAGUGGCGAACGGGUGAGUAACACGUGGGCAAUCUGCCCCUCGCAGGGGGACAACCGGAGGAAACUCCGGCUAAUACCCCGUACGCUUGCUGGACCGCAUGGUCCGGCAAGGAAAGGUAGCUUCGGCCAUCCGGCGAGGGAUGAGCCCGCGGUGCAUUAGCUAGUUGGUGGGGUAACGCCCACCAAGGCAACGAUGCAUAGCUGGUCUGAGAGGAUGAUCAGCCACACUGGGACUGAGACACGGCCCAGACUCCUACGGGAGGCAGCAGUCGGAAUCUUGCGCAAUGGGCGAAAGCCCUGACGCAGCAACACCGUGUGAGCGACGAA